rnacentral:lncRNA from 1 species
CAUUCAGACUGGUACCCUCCGCAUAACAUUGCUCCGGCGAUCUUGUUGAGGUUAAGAAUGGCGUCAUUAGAGUAGCCAGGGAAAUCGUGAUCCGAUUCUUCACCUUUUUCGUGAUUCGGUUCUUGUUGUUCUGAUACAACUUGCUUCCCUUUGUGAUCAUUCUGGUUCCCACCAGGAUCCAAUUCGGUUGGGUUGUUUCUAGAUUCUUCCAAUACGUAACGAAAAUCUUCUUCCAAAUACGACAUCACACGUUGUUGGAUUAAUCCAAUGCGAUUAACUAAUGAGUCAUUCAUUCCUUUGAUUUCUUCACCUUCAGAAGAAGGUGGUGGAGGAGUUGAUUCCAUUUGAAGAGUGAGCGAUU